GGCGGUGUCAGGGCACACUCGUAGCGUAGUAAUUUUCUUCUCGCUUCUGUAGUGGUUCUGGCAACCUGCCGUAAAACCCCCCUAUUUUCUAG
rnacentral:rRNA from 1 species